rnacentral:tRNA from 1 species
GGAGAGAUGGCUGAGUGGACCAAAGCGACAGAUUGCUAAUCCAUAGUAUGAAUUAUCCAUACCGAGGGUUCGAACUCCUCUCUCUCUA